CUUAGCAUGCACUCCCUCUUAACUUGGGCUUAUUUUGGCUUGCCUUGUGCUAUGACAGAAUUAGCGAUUGGGUGCCUCAGCUUUCCAAAUCUGAUCAUCCUUUCAUCCAGUACAUACUGUAGGUCUCCAUAUGGUCCAGAUUCCCCAUCCCCCCACAUUCACUCUUCAGCCAAUGAGAUUCCUUAGAAGAUCAAGUAUCACUAUAAGUCAAGGACUUAAGAAGUUUCAAGGUUCGCAGAAUCUUGCAGCCUGUCUUCGCCAUCAAGACACUCUCUUCUUUCGGCUUUUCUGAGGUCUAAAGCUCCCUCUCAUCAUGUCCGACACAGAGGACUUUGGGGUCGAGGGUAAGUACUGAAUUUGAAUUCUUAUUCUUAUUAUUGUCAUCAUUAUUGCUGUUAAUUUGUAGAAAAACAUAUGCCUUAGCCAGGAUUUUCAAUUCUGUCUUGUGUAAACAUGUCCACUCAAUAUCUAUUUCCAUUUUAUUUUAAAUAUUAUUAUCUAUAUGUAUUUUUCAGUCAGCAUCAGUGUUUUCUUGGUAUGU